AGCGAACGCUGGCGGCAGGCCUAACACAUGCAAGUCGAACGAACCCUUCGGGGUUAGUGGCGGACGGGUGAGUAACACGUGGGAACGUGCCUUUAGGUUCGGAAUAACUCAGGGAAACUUGUGCUAAUACCGAAUGUGCCCUUCGGGGGAAAGAUUUAUCGCCUUUAGAGCGGCCCGCGUCUGAUUAGCUAGUUGGGGAGGUAAUGGCUCACCAAGGCUACGAUCAGUAGCUGGUCUGAGAGGAUGACCAGCCACAUUGGGACUGAGACACGGCCCAAACUCCUACGGGAGGCAGCAGUGGGGAACCGUGCGCAAUGGGCGAAAGCCUGACGCAGCCAUGCCGCGUGGAUGAUGAAGGUCUUAGGAUUGUAAAAUCCUUUCACCGGUGAAGAUAAUGACUGUAGCCGGAGAAGAAGCCCCGGCUAACUUCGUGCCAGCCGCCGCAGUAAAAC
rnacentral:rRNA from 1 species